GGUGGUUCUGCCUCUCACUCUCGCCUUUGCUUUCUCUAUCUCGCUGUUUCACUCUGUCUUCUCUCUCAAUCUCUUUGUUUCUAAUUCUACAUCGCUAUCUGUUGCUUCCCUACUUCCACCCCCGCCCCCCCCCCCCUGUCUAAUUUCCCCUGUCGUUUUCUGUGUCUAGCUUUCUGUUUCCGUCGAUCUCCUCUGUAUCUCGGGGAACCCAGUACUAUGGAGACAUAGCUGGGUCUGAGAAAAUUGCAUGUGAAAACAGCAACACAAGACAGAAACCAAGAGAGAACCAAAUCUGGGUCUCGGUCGCUGCCAAAGUUGAAAGGCUUCAGGAGGGACAGUUGCCAAUGCCAGCGAGCUCCCUGUCUCAGCCAAUCUGUCACAUCAUUGUGUAAGAACCGUACAGUGAUAGGAAUUCAUGGAAAGGAGCCUCAAUCCAGGAGGACAAAACAAAAAAAAACUUUCAGCACUUCCUCUGACUUCCACACAGCAGUAACUGGAACGCUUGAACACACUGACCAUGAUGAUGAAGGUAGCACAUGAUGAAAAGAAAGAUUAAAUGACAGUGUUGUCCCGUCAGAUGUUGACCAGCUGUUGGUUGUAGCUUUGGGGAUUGUUUCCUGAGGCAACAGGAUGGAAGUAAAGACUUUGAGAAAAUGUGCAAAAGACCAGCGUGAAAUGGAAGGUUCUACUAGAGGCCUAUGACAACAAGGUAGAAGAUAGAGCUCCAUCUACAGAAUUCAUGCCUGGAUGAUAGAUGCUGCAUUUGGACGUCAGAGCCAAGCUCAAGGAAGGGACUGUUGCUAGUGGAGACUUCCAUUGGACUAUAUCCAUCUGAUAAUUCAUCCGACUGACCUGCACUUCACUUGUGAGACCAGUCAGGGGCAUCAACAGGAGGUUUGUUUCUCUUAGACCAUAAGAUGUAAAGGAGCAGAAUUAGGCCAUUCAGCCUAUUGAUGCUAUCCACCACUGGAUCUUGGCUGAUAUGUUUCUCAACACCACUCUCCUGCCUUCUCCCUGUAACCCCCUCACUAAUCAAGAGCCUACCAGUUGCUGUCAUAAAUACACUCAAUGACGUGGUCUCAACAGCCUCCUGCAGCAGUUGGAGUUCCACAGAUUCACCACCCUCUGGCUGAAGAAAUGCCUCCUCAUCUCAUUUCUAAAGGGAUGUCACUUCACUCUGAGCCUGUGUCCUUGUGACUUUAUCUUCUUCAUUUGCACUCUAUUCAGGCGUCUCAGUAUUCUGUAAGUUUAAUCAGACUCCCCCUCCCCCCCAAUUCUUCUAAACUCCAGAGCCCUUAACUGCUCCUUAUAGGACAAACCCUUCAGCACCAUGAUCAUUUUUGUAAACCUCCUGCAUACCCUCUCCAGGGCCAGCACAUUCUUCCUAGGGUACGGUUCCAAACUGCUCAUAAUAUUCCAAAUGCAGCUUUAUACAGCCUUGGCAGUACACCCCUGCUUUUGUAUUCUCGCCUUCUCAAAUAUCCUUUUCACAGUUUUCCUAUUUACCUUUUUGUUGUUUGCCGAUUAUCUCUCCUUGUCUUUAGAACACAUUGACUCAGAAACAUAGAAAAAUACAGCACAGAAUGAGGCCAUUCAACUCAUUCAUGUCCAUGCCAGCCCUUUGAAAGUACUUUCCAAUUAGCUCCACUUUCCCUACUUGUUCCUGGUAGCCACGAAGGCUUUUCCGUCUUGUCAUUUUAUUCAAUUCUGUUUUGAAGUUACAACCGAAUCCAGUUUUUCCAAUUUCAAGCGGUUUUCGAUGAAUCAUUUUAUUCUUCAAUACAUACUUCACUCGAUACUUCCAAGUCAAAUACACAUUUUAUCGUGCUUAGUUGUUUUGUUACUUGUAUGAACUACUCAUUUCUUCCUGUAAGUUGAAAUUUCAAUUUGUUUUACUUGUUCAUCUCCACAUGGGGUGGAGAGUGGCAAAAUGGGGUCAUGUAUAAGUGUCUCUUUCACCAUUAGUGGCAAUGUACUUUCUAUACUACAGCAUGCACCCUCUGGGAUGAUCUACUUCUUGGAUUUUUUUUAGAGGGUAAUGGUAAGGGUGGAUGAGAGGGGAGAAUGCCACUUCUGCCUUCGCGCUAGGGUAGCAGGCCUUUGGAGUUGCCCCUAUUGCUCAUGAAGAGGGGGCGUCACAAACACAUGACCAUUUCCCUCCACGAACUAAUAUGUCAGAGCAUCUAAAUAAUGUGUCACCAUACUCUCAGCGUCUUCCAUGUCAGUGCUCCUCUCGACAGUUGGCUCUUAACAGAACAUGUUAGUGGGAGACUAUUUGACUGUGGAAGAUUCACAGCUGAGCCUUCUUCUGUCUCAAUCCUGAUCUUCGCUUCCUAUUCAGUGCUCACUAGUUGGGAAAAGUCUUCACGAAUCCAAAGAUGUGCAGGUUUAUUGGAUUGGCCAGGCUAACUUGCCCAUACUGUUCAGGAAUGUGUAGAUUAGGUGAAUUAUGAGGGAUAGAUGUAAAUGGGAUGCUGUGUAGGGCAGUGUGAACUUGUUGGGCCAAAGCGCCUGUUUCCACAUUGUUGGGAUUCUAUGAUUUAUGAUCUAAACACUGGCUGACUCCUCCCAUCACUAACCCAGGGCUGUAAAUUAGUUACAACACCCACAUCCUGAACACAAUUGAGAAUUGUUAAUGCAGCGUGGAAAUGGCUCUUACUGAUGAAACCCUUUAUCUGUGUAGUUUAACAAUUCAAAUUUCAAUGUUGGUGGAGUUCCUGUACAAUGCCUGAUAAUGGGAAUUAAGUGUGUUUAUUUUUACUGGGAUCGCUUUGAAUUAUCCAAUACCGCCUUCUGUCCUCCAUUUAGCUGAGAUUUCAGUGUUGUCCGAUUCCUAAUGUUGGGGGUUGGUUAGUUCAUUUGUGUGGAAUGUAAAGCAGAGUGACACCAAUAGCAUGGGUUCAGUUCCAGCACCAGCUGAGAUUACCAUCAAGGUCCUAUCUUCUCACCCUCUAUUCUCACCUGAGGCGUGGUGACCCUCAGGUUAAACCAGUUGACUCUGAGACACCCACUCUAUGGGACUAUGGUGACUUUAUUCCUAAUACCGUGCUAAUGUAAAAUAUUAUUCAUGCCAAUGUUAAAAAAACUUUAUUUCAAAUAAACUGUUUUUCUUGCAA